rnacentral:lncRNA from 1 species
CAAUUCUAAGAGCCCAGAGGGCACAUUCCUCCUGCUUCUGAGCACUGAAACUAAGGGGAAAAAGCGGACAGCUUCCAGCAAGUCAGAAGAAUUUUCAAAAAUGCUUGGAAAUAACAUGAAAAGUAUUGAUAAUUUUCCUGCUUUCUAUCCAUCUCAACUCCACCAGACUUUUUAGAGGUCCCAUGUAAUGUCCAAGUUCUCACCCACAUAUCAACCUUUCUGCUAUUAUUUUAGAUCCCUCCUUGAAAGCCAUAUGGUGUUUCUAAUGUGGUACGUUGGGUCUUAAACCACUGAGGAAGUCAUGUGACUGCCUGUACAAUCCAAAAUUCUGUGUAGUGGAACAGAGACAGUUUUUGCUAUGAAAUAUAUCACUGUGUGGUUUUGGGUGGAUGGGCGUAUCACAAUGAUAUAAACAGCAGAGGGACCUGUACAAAAAUCCAAAGUAGGAAAAAAGGUGAGAUCUUUUGGGAAAGAAAGGAGAGGCGUGACUGUGAUGUGUAAGAAGAGAAGUACAACAUUUGUUUUCUGUUUUCUUUUAUCCUGGAUACAUAAAAUAGAUCCAGGGGAAUUUAAAAGAGGCAAGAAAGGGAGAUUUUGAAAAUUCUGUACUCAAUCAAGAUAACUGAAAUAGUUGAACUUUCCAAGUAAUUUUUUUUCCCUUUCCAAUCUACAAAGAAAAUCUACCUCUGGAUCAUCUUAUGGGCUUGCACUUAAGAUAAUUAGGCUAACUAUCCAGCUUUCCAUCUCUAGAUUUACAACACUUUUGAACACCACGAGGAAAGAGUGAGUUAUUGUAGGAAGUCCUAGCAGUGUGAGGCCAAUAAAAGGACCAGGGACGAUUCUCAGAGUUGUACCAACUAAAGACAGGAAAUGUUCAGAGCUGCACAGAGACUCUGGGAUUCUGCUGGACAGUAAAAGAUAUUGAGCCUGAAGUAUCCAAGUCCCUUUUGAGUCUGCUGAAAUGCUUACUAAGUUGAAGCCAAAAUUUCAAGGAUGUGAGAAACGUUUCCCUUUUGGUUCUGAAUUCCUUUGGGAGACACUAGUAUGCAUUUUAACAUGCAUACAUGAAGAUAUACAUGAAUAUAUUUUACCCAGAUUCUACAUUAUAUAUUUUAUAGGUCACUGUGGAGAAAUCAACUAAAUCAGAAGAUGUUGGCACCACUGAGAAAACAACACCUU